rnacentral:rRNA from 1 species
UGGGGAAUAUUGGACAAUGGGCGAAAGCCUGAUCCAGCCAUGCCGCGUGUGUGAAGAAGGCCUUUUGGUUGUAAAGCACUUUAAGUGGGGAGGAAAAGCUUAUGGUUAAUACCCAUAAGCCCUGACGUUACCCACAGAAUAAGCACCGGCUAACUCUGUGCCAGCAGCCGCGGUAAUACAGAGGGUGCAAGCGUUAAUCGGAAUAACUGGGCGUAAAGGGCACGCAGGCGGUUAUUUAAGUGAGGUGUGAAAGCCCCGGGCUUAACCUGGGAAUUGCAUUUCAGACUGGGUAACUAGAGUACUUUAGGGAGGGGUAGAAUUCCACGUGUAGCGGUGAAAUGCGUAGAGAUGUGGAGGAAUACCGAAGGCGAAGGCAGCCUCUUGGGAAUGUACUGACGCUCAUGUGCGAAAGCGUGGGGAGCAAACAGGAUUAGAUACCCUGGUAGUCCACGCUGUAAACGCUGUCGAUUUGGGGGUUGGGGUUUAACUCUGGCGCCCGUAGCUAACGUGAUAAAUCGACCGCCUGGGGAGUACGGCCGCAAGGUUA